AGGAGGGCGUCCUCUUGACUCUAGGAGAGCUGGGAGGGGGAGGGAGAGCUUGAUCUGUCUCGGCGCCUGCGCAGUGCGAGUGGACGGUGUCUGGGCGCCGAGAAUACUGGCCGAAGUUUCAAGCGCGCCUACGCACUGUGUCCUUUGGAAACAGGAUGCUUGAGGUCAAAAGCUCCCCCUCCUGACCAAACUGGCUAAGACUUGUGGGAUCCAAGGCAGCUCACUUGACCUCUGACGAACCUCUAACUUCGUUAUAACUAAUUUCUGUGCUAAAUGACACUCCCACCAGCACCAUGACCGUUAACAAUCACUAUGACAAGGACCGGAAGAAACCACAAAAGCACAAAAAGGAAGACGGUACUCCAGUUUCAAGGAGUUCUCCACCUAUUCCCAGAAAAGAAAUGAAUAUUCCUCCCCUUGCUUUUAAUAUCCAGCCCUUUCAUUAAAGAUGCCCUAUAUCUGUGACUUCCUGGCUCUCGGGAGCUGAGCCCAAGCUCCCACUUCUCAAUUCCAUGACCGUCUAAUAAAGCCUGCACUGCUUGACAUUCA